rnacentral:lncRNA from 1 species
CGUCUAUACUUAUUUGUGAGGUGCUUAGGUGUGUGAUGGGGCGUCAGUUCUUUACUUAUUUUGUGAGGGCUUAGGUGUGUGAUGGGGUGUCACGUCUAUCUUUUUGUGAGGUGCUUAGGUGUGUGAUGGGGUGGUCACGUUAACUUAUUUUGUGAGGUGCUUAGGUGUGUGAUGGGGUGUCACGUCUAUACUUAUUUGUGAGGUGCUUAGGUGUGUGUGGGGUGUCACGUCAUCUUAUUUGUGAGGUGCUUAGGUGUGUGAUGGGGUGGUAACGUCAUAGACUUAUUGUGAGGUGCUUAGGUGUGUGAUGGGGUGGUCACGUCUAUACUUAUUUGUGAGGUGCUUAGGUGUGUGAUGGGGCGUCAGUUCUCUACUUAUUUGUGAGGUUCUUAGCAGUGUGACGGGGGUCAGUUCUCUACUUAUUUGUAAGGUUCUUAGCAGUGUGAUGGGGUCAGUCUCUACUUAUUUGUAAGGUUCUUAGCAGUGUGACGGGGGUCAGUUCUCUACUUUUUGUAAGGUUCUUAGCAGUGUGAUGGGGGUCAGUUCCUACUUAUUUGUAAGGUCUUAGCAGUGUGAGGGGUCAGUUCUCUACUUAUUC